ensembl:lncRNA
AACUGCUUUUUCAUCACAAAUGAACCCAGGAUGUCUUUAUCUGAGGACCUAAAAGUACACUGGUUAAAUUACACUUUUCUUGGGUCUGGACCAGAGAAGAGGAAUCAGCCUAGGCAGUGCUGAAGAGCCUCAGAGAGGAUUCACGCAGGGAAGAGGGAGGCAGCACCGGAGCUUGUCCAAGUUCCAAAGUCCCGGUUGUCAAAGUGGAGUUUGCCAGCAUUCACCCUUUCAGGGUGGCCUGAGGCACCGUCCUCUGUCCUUUCAUCUCUCCUUCCG